CCCACCUGCCCGGAAGCUUCUUCACAUAUGCAGAAAUGCUGUGCACGCACGAGCGCGCAUGCACGAGUGAACCGGUAGCGACGGGAUUUGGAACCUGCCCCUUCUCUUAUUGCAAGCAAAAUGCACACAGAAUGCAGCUCUGAGCACGCGCACAUUGGGAACAGGCUCCAGAUGUUCUUCUGCCCCACUUAUCUCCAACUCCGAAGGCAGCUGAUAACUGUUGGAUGGCCCUGGCCCCAUCUCUGCCUACGACACAGAGAACUCAUCAGAGCCUUCCCCAGACUCCAGGACUGGCCCAUGUUCCUCCCCAACCUCUUCACUGUCUGAGUCUGCCGCCAGCUCCACUGGCCACUGGUGGGCCACAACAGGGUCUUCAACAAAUAAAACAAGAACAGAAGUAAGAAAAAUGUAAUUAAAAAUCCAUUUUCCAUUAUACAAACUACAAGUAUACAAAUCUAUAAUUAAAAGUUCCUGGCCUCCUGAGUUGGCACCACCUAGCCGGCCUUGGUUGAUCAUGAAAGUUAAACAGCACUGACCCUGCAUUAUAUUUGGGUAAGGGACUAUCUGGGAAUGCAGUGGGGUUGUCUGGACUGGAGGAGGGGUGGAGACAAGAAAGGAAGUGGCAAAUCACUUCAUUAAUGUGGCCAAGAAAAUUGCAGGGGCAGAAGGAAUCAAACUUAACUUGACUGGCUGUUACUGUUGACUUCAUGGAUGUUAUAAUGUUCAAAUAGCUCCCUCUGGUGGCACGUACAAGAAAAUAUCUAAUAAAGAGAACUAAAACAUUUUUUUUUUCCCUGAGAAAGAUUGUAUUACAGAAAAUAAACCCAACAACAAAAUGGAAACACUCUUUCCCUCCAUGCCCUUUAAAUGUGACCAGGGUCAAACUAGAUAAAUCUGUUUACCUACAGUAAUCCUGCCAUACCCAAGUUGGUCCUCCCUGCCUUCAGGUAAGAGGUAAAGGUAAAGGUUUCCUGUCGAGUUGAGUUCGAUUCUGCAGGGUGGGGGGUUGCUC